rnacentral:rRNA from 1 species
UACGGAGGGAGCUAGCGUUGUUCGGAAUUACUGGGCGUAAAGCGCACGUAGGCGGCUUUCUAAGUCGGGGGUGAAAUCCUGGAGCUCAACUCCAGAACUGCCUUCGAUACUGGAGAGCUUGAGUCCGGGAGAGGUGAGUGGAACUGCGAGUGUAGAGGUGAAAUUCGUAGAUAUCGGGAGGAACACCAGUGGCGAAGGCGGCGAUCUGGGAAGAUACUGACGCUGAGGUGCGAAAGCGUGGGGAGCAAACAGG